GCACUCUACUUUGUGCAACGGUUUAGCACAUGCUCCCGGAAAGAGCAAGAUCUGGGUUCAAAUCCCGGCUGACGCA